rnacentral:ncRNA from 2 species
CUCUUAUCACGAGUGGUGGAGGGGACGGCCCGAUGAAGCCCGGCAACCAGGCGAUGCCCAGGUGCCAAACCCGACCGGGAUGACCGGGAGGAUGAGAG